AUUGAACGCUGGCGGCAUGCCUUACACAUGCAAGUCGAACGGCAGCGCGGACUUCGGUCUGGCGGCGAGUGGCGAACGGGUGAGUAAUGUAUCGGAACGUGCCCUAGAGUGGGGGAUAACGUAGCGAAAGUUACGCUAAUACCGCAUACGAUCUAUGGAUGAAAGUGGGGGACCGUAAGGCCUCACGCGCAUGGAGCGGCCGAUAUCUGAUUAGCUAGUUGGUAGGGUAAAAGCCUACCAAGGCGACGAUCAGUAGCUGGUCUGAGAGGACGACCAGCCACACUGGGACUGAGACACGGCGCAGACUCCUACGGGAGGCAGCAGUGGGGAAUUUUGGACAAUGGGGGCAACCCUGAUCCAGCAAUGCCGCGUGUGUGAAGAAGGCCUUCGGGUUGUAAAGCACUUUUGUCAGGAACGAAACGGUGGGGGCUAAUAUCCUCUGCUAAUGACGGUACCUGAAGAAUAAGCACCGGCUAACUACGUGCCAGCCGCCGCCGUAA
rnacentral:rRNA from 1 species